GAUGUGGUCCUGCCAAUAUCUUAUCUGAGAUUUGGAACUCAGCCUUCCUGAAGCCUAUGACACAUAUCUGAGUGUACCAAGCCAUUACUUCCCUGACCAUCACACAGUGAACAUAUGGAAGUAAGACUUUCUAUCCCUGAAAAAGGCACGCUCUGUUUUACUGAAGGAAGAAGAGGAAAAGAAGAACAAAACAAAGACGGAAGCUUUUCCUUGCUGAGCGUUUUCAGCCUAGGCUUCAAAGGCAUCUUCCUCAGAACAUGCAUAGGAUCAGCUAAUCAAGAACAGGAGGAGUGGACUUACUCAGGGCAGUCUUGCUGCAAGGCCAAAAGAACAACCAUUGAAAGAAGAGGAGAGAAA